UACGGGGGAUGCAAGCGUUAUCCGGAAUCAUUGGGCGUAAAGCGCCUGUAGGUUGUUUAAUAAGUUUGUUGUUAAAGACUAGGGCUUAACCCUAGGAAAGCAAUGAAAACUACUAGACUUGAGUGUGAUAGGGGUAGAGGGAAUUUCUAGUGUAGCGGUGAAAUGCGUAGAUAUUAGAAAGAACACCGGUGGCGAAGGCGCUCUACUGGAUCAUUACUGACACUCAGAGGCGAAAGCUAGGGUAGCAAAAGGGAUUAGAUACCCCUGUAGUCCUAGCCGUAAACGAUGGAUACUAGGUGUUGCAUUCUUAGUGCAGUAUCGUAGCUAACGCGUUAAGUAUCCCGCCUGGGGAGUACGCUCGCAAGGGUG
rnacentral:rRNA from 1 species